UACGUAGGGUGCGAGCGUUUGUCCGGAAUUAUUGGGCGUAAAGGGGCUCGUAGGCGGUUUGUCGCGUUCGGGAGUGAAAUCCACUGGCUUAACUGGUGGCUUGCUUUCGAUACGGGCAGACUGGAGGUAUGCAGGGGAGAACGGAAUUCCUGGUGUAGCGGUGAAAUGCGCAGAUAUCAGGAGGAACACCGGUGGCGAAGGCGGUCUCUGGGCAUGUCCUGACGCUGAGGAGCGAAAGUGUGGGGGAGCGAACAGG
rnacentral:rRNA from 1 species